UACGAAGGGGACUAGCGUUGUUCGGAAUCACUGGGCGUAAAAAGCUCGUAGGCGGCUUGUCGCGUCGACCGUGAAAACUUGGGGCUCAACCCCAAGCCUGCGGUCGAUACGGGCAGGCUCGAGUUCGGUAGGGGAGACUGGAAUUCCCGGUGUAGAGGUGAAAUUCGUAGAUAUCGGGAGGAACACCAGUGGCGAAGGCGGCGAUCUGGGAAGAUACUGACGCUGAGGUGCGAAAGCGUGGGGAGCAAACAGG
rnacentral:rRNA from 1 species